rnacentral:tRNA from 1 species
GGAAGGGUGGCCGAGUGGUUGAAGGCACACGCUUGGAAAGCGUGCAUACCGCAAGGUAUCGCGGGUUCGAAUCCCGCCUCUUCCG